rnacentral:RNase_P_RNA from 1 species
AGCAGUUGACAGGCAAUCGCUCCUGUUUUACAGGAGAGGAAAGUCCGGACUGCACAGAGCGGGAAGUCCUUUUCAGCGCGCCGCCGCCCCUUGCGGACUGCGGUUGUGUGAAAGAAGGAUGCUGCGGACCAUAAGCCGCAGGAAGGAAAGUGCAACAGAAAAAAUACCGCCGGAGUCCGCUCCGGUAAGGGUGAAAAGGUGGGGCAAGAGCCCACCGGGCGCUAUGCGAGAGCAGCGUCGCUCAGGCAAACCCCUUCCGCAGCAAGACCAAAUAGGGAACGAGCUGUUGCUCGCAGCGUUACAAGUUCCGGGUUCUGGUCGCAUAGACAGAUGAUUGCCGCCGAUAGCGUAUGCUGUCGGAACAGAAUCCGGCUUAUCUCAAGUGCUGCCU